UUACCCCGGCUGGAAAGAGCUGUGGUCGUGCCUCACUGAAAGUCGUUCAUCUUGAAAGGUUAACUGCUGGAGUCGGAGAGAUGGGAAACACAGGUGCAGGAAAGUUUUGAGUUAUUUCAGAUCUCUGAGCGAGCAGUCUGUUUUGUUUGGUGAAGAAUAAAGAGAGGAAAGAAGCUCAACUGCAGCGGUUUUCAGAUGCAGUUCCCAAGGGGAUGGUGUUGAAACCAGAGCAGAAAAUUAAAACUUUGGCCCUGAGGGGAGCAGAGAGGUGGGGGCCUGGGUGAAGGAGGUGCUUCUCCGUUUCAAGGCCAUCAUUUGUUUUUACAACGGAAAAUCCUGCCAAAGCUUCUCUGCACUAAUUUCCAGACAAGGUAAACCAACGUUUCUUCAUGCUCCAAUGAAAGUCUCAAUCAGUACUUCUUUUUCUUUCUUUUUUUACACCUAAUAAGUCACUUGAAAGAUGGAGGAGAAAAACAGGGACCCUCAUUCAGACUUGGCAGCUCUCCUUCUUCCUAUAAGCUCUUGUCAGCAACACAGUGAACAUGUUAGGAAAGUGCAUGAAGGGCCUGUUUGAUGUGUGACACCAAGACCUUAUAGGAGACCUAUGGAAAAGGCUUGGUGGCCUGGAUGUGAAGGGAUCACAGGGCGACGAACAACGGGAGGAUUGAGUGUGUGUGGAAGGAGGAGGAGGAGAAGAGGAAGAAAAAAGGGAGUGAGGAAGAGGAGGAGCAUGCAUGGCUUCCAACCCCAAAGGGCAAGCAUCGUGAAGCUUCAGAGGACUUGGAGGAACAAGAAAUAGAGGAUUUAUUUUUCUUUUUUGGAAGGUAAAGGAAGGGGACCCUCCUUCAGCUAUACAAGGGGAAAUUCCCACCAACUGAACGAACCACCCCUCAGAUCAAAGUAUGUGUAUAUAUGUGCAUGUGCAGUCAGUGUUACACCUGUGAGCAGAGCCACCCGCACCUUAAGAGACGAGCAGAAGACGAGCUCAAAGGUGAUAAGGAAUGCAGGCGUUAAAAACAGCCUGGAAAUAUGAUACUGUCAUGUUGCAGCAUAACCAAGCAGACCCAGACACUGUUUUCAUGGUAAUAACACACAUGCUUACAUACUGUAUACACCUGUUAAAGCAGGCUGUAAUUCAGUGCUGAAGCAUUUCUGUGUCCGUGCAGUGGCAGUAAUUUGAACAGUUUUAUUGUGCUAUGUUUUAAAUGGCACCAGCAAAGAGUCUUGUAACAUGUAGGGCGGCCUAUAUGGCACUGCAUAACAUUUCUUCCACUGUAGGGGCACCCUAUAGGGCACCUGAUCACUUUUCUUUCCCACUGGGCCUCCAUAGAGGGCACUUGAUCAUAUUUUAUCUGCCAUAGGGGGCAUCUAAGAACGUACCUGUGGCAUUGCUUUCAAACGUGGGGGCACAAGUGCAACAGUGACCUGUAAUCUGUACAUUUUAAUAAGCUUUUCCCUCUUAAAAUGUGGCAUUAAAGGAGCAGUGUGUAGGAUUCAGAGGCAUAUAGUAGUGAGAACUGCAGAUUGCAACCAGCUGAAACUUCUCCCAGUUAGAAAUCUUCCAGUGUUCAUUGUACAGGGGUUUUUUAUUGGGAGCUAAAUUAUGUACAGAGGUCUCUUCCUCUCCAAAACAAACAGACUCAGUGAUUUAAAGUGGUAAAAACACUGAAAAGCACUGAAUAAAGCAGUUUCAGGUUA